rnacentral:lncRNA from 1 species
GUUUCAGUAUGAACCAAAACAAAACUUGAAAAGAGUAACCGUCGGAUCUUUGUUUCUGAAUUUGAAAGUUCAGGUAGUUAUGAACUGUGAUUUGUGAGCUUCUCCUUGAAUCCCAAACGAUUUGUGAUUUGUUACUUGAGGAUAGUAACUUUGCUUGGCUAUAGUUUUGUUGUUAUUUUGUAUUUGGCGGUGUGUGGUACUAGCUUCCAAGGGCGUGUGCAUUAGUUGAUUAUUCACAAGUUUUACGUUAUUUCAUCAGUAACACUUCUUUGUCUAUUUGUUU